UUCAGCUGUUCAUCUGAACUCCGACGAUGACAUUAUCAUUUGUAGUGAAAACAUUAGCAUGUUCACUAGUCAGACUGUAAAUCUAAGAAUGUGAGCGCCAUUGAGAAGCAAGCAUUGACAAACGUGAAGAAGCAUUUCUGAAGUCCGCCGCACAGAAGAAACGCCAAAGUGCCCAACAAAUGUUUUAUUCAUAGCAUGUAGCCAGCUGGGACAUUUGAAUGCAAGAGCAGCUGCGGUACUAGGACGAUCCACGCAUCGUUUGCCAAGCAAACAUCGUCCCUCAGCUCAGCUCAGCUUCACACAAUGAUUCCUCCGCCCGGAAGAUGAGACGAGCCUACAGGAGCCGGAUCACACCGCCGCUUUAAAAGGCCGCGGAGGGCGAGCACGACUAUCCGGGCCAAGUUCACACAGCUAACAGGUGUACAGCAAGGACCGGUUCUCCGACCGUUUGCUCCCUGAUGUUUACCUGAGACCUUUCGGCCUGGAGUUUGAGUCAUGCUCUGGGGUUUCAGCAGGAGCGUCAGCACUCACUGGCAGAAGGAGAAGUUUUAAAUGCGGAAGAAGACCGUCCAGGCUGAAUCAGGCAGAGCUAUCUCAGGACAGUCGAUUUCUUCCAGGUCACCAGAGUCAUCUCAGCUGG